CCUACGGGUGGCUGCAGUGGGGAAUAUUGGACAAUGGGCGAAAGCCUGAUCCAGCCAUGCCGCGUGUGUGAAGAAGGCCUUCGGGUUGUAAAGCACUUUCAGUGGGGAAGAAAGCCUUGGGGCUAAUACCCUCGAGGAAGGACAUCACCCACAGAAGAAGCACCGGCUAACUCCGUGCCAGCAGCCGCGGUAAUACGGAGGGUGCGAGCGUUAAUCGGAAUUACUGGGCGUAAAGCGCGCGUAGGCGGUCUGAUAAGCCGGUUGUGAAAGCCCCGGGCUCAACCUGGGAACGGCAUCCGGAACUGUCGGGCUAGAGUGCAGGAGAGGAAGGUAGAAUUCCCGGUGUAGCGGUGAAAUGCGUAGAGAUCGGGAGGAAUACCAGUGGCGAAGGCGGCCUUCUGGACUGACACUGACGCUGAGGUGCGAAAGCGUGGGUAGCAAACAGGAUUAGAUACCCUUGUAGUC
rnacentral:rRNA from 1 species